rnacentral:rRNA from 1 species
UACAUAGGCUUCAAGCGUUGUCUGGAAUUAUUGGGCGUAAAGCGUAUGUAGGCGGCUAGGUAAGUCAGGCGUGCAAGCCCGUGGCUCAACCACGGAAUUGCGUUUGAUACUGCUUAGCUUGAGUACAGGAGAGGAGAGCGGAAUUCCCAGUGUAGCGGUGAAAUGCAUUGAUAUUGGGAAGAACAUCUGUGGCGAAGGCGGCUUUCUGGUCUGUUACUGACGCUGAGAUACGAAAGCCAGGGUAGCGAACGGG